UUGUUGGUAAGGUAAAAGCUUACCAAGGCUUCGAUCAGUAGCUGGUCUGAGAGGACGACCAGCCACACUGGGACUGAGACACGGCCCAGACUCCUACGGGAGGCAGCAGUGGGGAAUUUUGGACAAUGGGGGCAACCCUGAUCCAGCCAUGCCGCGUGAGUGAAGAAGGCCUUCGGGUUGUAAAGCUCUUUCAGCCGGAACGAAACGGUUACGGAUAACACCCGUGACUACUGACGGUACCGGAAGAAGAAGCACCGGCUAACUACGUGCCAGCAGCCGCGGUAAUACGUAGGGUGCGAGCGUUAAUCGGAAUUACUGGGCGUAAAGCGUGCGCAGGUGGUUUUGUAAGUCAGAUGUGAAAGCCCCGGGCUCAACCUGGGAACUGCGUUUGAAACUACAAGACUAGAGUGUGGCGGAGGGGGGUGGAAUUCCGCGUGUAGCAGUGAAAUGCGUAGAGAUGUGGAGGAACACCGAUGGCGAAGGCAGCCCCCUGGGUCAACACUGACGCUCAGGCACGAAAGCAUGGGGAGCAAACAGGAUUAGAUACCCUGGUAGUCCAUGCCCUAAACGAUGUCAACUAGUUGUCGGGCCUUUACGGGCUUGGUAACGUAGCUAACGCGUGAAGUUGACCGGCUGGGGAGUACGAUCGCAAGAUUAAAACUCAAAUGAAUUGACGGGGACCCGCACAAGCGGUGGAUUAUGUGGAUUAAUUCGAUGCAACGCGAAAAACCUUACCUACCCUUGACAUGUAUCGAAGCCCGCAGAAAAGCGGGGGUGCCCGAAAGGGAACGAUAACACAGGUGCUGCAUGGCUGUCGUCAGCUCGUGUCGUGAGAUGUUGGGUUAAGUCCCGCAACGAGCGCAACCCUUGUCAUUAAUUGCCAUCAUUUAGUUGGGCACUUUAAUGAGACUGCCGG
rnacentral:rRNA from 1 species